GUAGCCGGUUCGAGAUUUAUCUCGAACAAAACUCUCCAGUGGAGAGUUUUGAGGCGGAGAAGGCCACGGCAGUGGCAGGAAAUGCGCGCCACGGCGCGCAUGCAAUAUCACUGCCAUGCACCCAUCGGGGCCUUAGCUCAGCUGGGAGAGCGCCUGAUUUGCAUUCAGGAGGUCAUCGGUUCGAUCCCGAUAGGCUCCACCAGGUCCUGAGAAGGACCAGACGGGUUAGUAGCUCAGGUGGUUAGAGCGUACGCCUGAUAAGCGUAAGGUCGAUGGUUCGAGUCCAUCCUGACCCACCAUUCCCGCAAAUCCCUUCGGCAGAGACGACUUGAUCAUCAAGCGCAAUGCGUUGCGUUUGAUCAUCCAGUCGGAUGGCGUGAGCAAUCACGCAGCUUGACAUCGUAUAGAGAGAAACAUCGGUAUCGUUUGGAGCCCGUCAGUGAGAUGGGAUCCAGGUCGCAAGACCAAGAACGAUACUGUUCCAAGUCUAGUACACUAACCGCAACUGUCGUCAGGGCAACCUGGCGAUGGAAGCAUGGGAAAGUACUGCUUUUGGUCCGAGAGGGAAAACCAACGAACCAGUGGU
rnacentral:misc_RNA from 1 species